AGGGGCAGCAUGGUCUUAGCUUGCUAAGGCCGAUGGCGACCGGCGCACGGGUGAGUAACACGUAUCCAACCUGCCGUCUACUCUUGGACAGCCUUCUGAAAGGAAGAUUAAUACAAGAUGGCAUCAUGAGUCCACAUGUUCACAUGAUUAAAGGUAUUCCGGUAGACGAUGGGGAUGCGUUCCAUUAGAUAGUAGGCGGGGUAACGGCCCACCUAGUCUUCGAUGGAUAGGGGUUCUGAGAGGAAGGUCCCCCACAUUGGAACUGAGACACGGUCCAAACUCCUACGGGAGGCAGCAGUGAGGAAUAUUGGUCAAUGGGCGAGAGCCUGAACCAGCCAAGUAGCGUGAAGGAUGACUGCCCUAUGGGUUGUAAACUUCUUUUAUAAAGGAAUAAAGUCGGGUAUGCAUACCCGUUUGCAUGUACUUUAUGAAUAAGGAUCGGCUAACUCCGUGCCAGCAGCCGCGGUAAUACGGAGGAUCCGAGCGUUAUCCGGAUUUAUUGGGUUUAAAGGGAGCGUAGAUGGAUGUUUAAGUCAGUUGUGAAAGUUUGCGGCUCAACCGUAAAAUUGCAGUUGAUACUGGAUAUCUUGAGUGCAGUUGAGGCAGGCGGAAUUCGUGGUGUAGCGGUGAAAUGCUUAGAUAUCACGAAGAACUCCGAUUGCGAAGGCAGCCUGCUAAGCUGCAACUGACAUUG
rnacentral:rRNA from 1 species